rnacentral:misc_RNA from 1 species
AAAACACUACUUCAUUUAGGAGGCUCAAUAACAAAAACUUGCAAAGUUUAAAGGCUCUUUAAUAGGUUUUCCCCAUUUAAAUUGAUGAAGCAGCAAAUGCUGCAUCCAUUUGCAUGUGGUACAUAUUGUAGCAGGGGGAUGGAACAUGAAAAUGUAACAUUAUGCCUUUUCUGAUGGCCUUGUAUAAAAGUGGCUUAAGAUGUAAGCCUUUUUUGGACCAAAAAAGGAAAUUCUUCAUAUUUUUAGAUUGUUAGAAACUUGUAUUUGGAUUUUGGUUCGGGAUUGAUUUCUAAUCCCAGGAUUUGAAUGUGAGUGUUAGUUUAAAUUUGUAUAAAUAAAUAUUUGAACUGGCACAAGAGAAGGAAAAAAGUUUUUUCAACCAAAUUGUAGAGCGUGUUUAAAAUUACAUAUUUUUGGUAGUUAU